rnacentral:lncRNA from 1 species
GUAGUCAGAUCAUGUCAGGAAGGAUAGAGUUUCUGCUAUAUUCUGCAUAUAUCAAAUUACAACCUCUGGUAAGGCUUGUAAUACCUGCCAGGUGAUGGUAGGAAGUUUAAGGAUAGCCAAUUAGUUAAAUGCCCCACCCAGUGAUUAGGUUUGUUGGCCUUGCAUCAUGGCAAUAUGUUGGUGCAAGUGGCUGCAAUCUGGGCAGAAUGAUUCAAUUAUCAGAAGGCUGGAGGCUCUCCCUCUUGCAGAGCCUGUGCUAAAUAAAAUAAGGGCUUUCUUUUCAGAGAAUGGACAGCAUCUGAGCUUUCUGCGUCCUGGCUGAAGUGGAGGUGGGCUCCUACAAUUUUGUGAAGCGUUAACACAAUUUUGUGAAGCUAAACUUUCAAGAGUGCUUAAGCCUUCAUAUGUGUGCCUCCAGUUGCUGUGAGGGUCUGCAGGGGAUGUGUACCUUGGCAGCUGAAGGUACACUUGUGUGUUUGUGUGUCUACUGAACCCGCUCACCAUAGGAAUGGAACUUUAAACUGUGGCUUGAAUCAGCUGUUGGAAGGAGUCCUCAGGGAAGAUGAAUAAGCUCGUGUCAGCUGAGAUCUUUGCACUCAGGAGAAGCGAUCGGGAUGAUGGUGCUUCACACCCCAGAGGGAGUUUCGCUUCACAGAUAAGCGCCCUGAGUCAUGAGCUGAAUACGUGCCAGAAGGUUUCAAUGGCAGAAGUAAAUCCUAUCAAAGUUUGCUGUUGUGGUUGGACUGCUGACUCAAAGCGCUCGCUACGUGAGCUACCAGGGAGAGAUGGGGCUGGCAGUAAGUCACGCAGUGGCUCAUGUGGAAAUUGGGAGGCAGAAAUUGUUCUGCACAUGAACAAGAAACAAUCUGGGUAUGUGAAAAUGUAAGCUGUUUGUUUCAAUCAAGAGGUUGGGUUUGGCUUUACUCCAUGUAGUUAUUUGAAGGCUAUUGAGAAAUGCAAAUCAUGAUUUAUUUUUACUGUGCUAUGUGAUGAGACUCAUACUUCAGAGGCAGAGAGACAAGUUUCUGGAAUCUGUCCAGAAAUUAGCCAAAACGAUAAAAUAAAAAAAUCACACAACUUAUUCA